rnacentral:rRNA from 1 species
CCUACGGGAGGCAGCAGUGGGGAAUAUUGGACAAUGGGGGCAACCCUGAUCCAGCCAUGCCGCGUGUGUGAAGAAGGCCCUCGGGUUGUAAAGCACUUUCAGUGAGGAAGAACGCCUGGUGGUUAAUACCCAUCAGGAAAGACAUCACUCACAGAAGAAGCACCGGCUAACUCCGUGCCAGCAGCCACGGUAAUACGGAGGGUGCGAGCGUUAAUCGGAAUUACUGGGCGUAAAGCGCGCGUAGGUGGCUUGAUAAGCCGGUUGUGAAAGCCCCGGGCUCAACCUGGGAACGGCAUCCGGAACUGUCAAGCUAGAGUGCAGGAGAGGAAGGUAGAAUUCCCGGUGUAGCGGUGAAAUGCGUAGAGAUCGGGAGGAAUACCAGUGGCGAAGGCGGCCUUCUGGACUGACACUGACACUGAGGUGCGAAAGCGUGGGUAGCAAACAGGAUUAGAUACCCUAGUAGUC